rnacentral:rRNA from 1 species
UACGAAGGGGGCUAGCGUUGUUCGGAAUCACUGGGCGUAAAGCGCACGUAGGCGGAUUCGUAAGUCAGGGGUGAAAUCCCGGGGCUCAACCUCGGAACUGCCUUUGAUACUGCGGGUCUUGAGUCCGAUAGAGGUGGGUGGAAUUCCUAGUGUAGAGGUGAAAUUCGUAGAUAUUAGGAAGAACACCGGUGGCGAAGGCGGCCCACUGGAUCGGUACUGACGCUGAGGCGCGAAAGCGUGGGGAGCAAACAGG